rnacentral:lncRNA from 1 species
GGGAAAACCGAUGUGGCAUGCUCUUCCCAGGCAACUGUGCUGGGACAGGGUCCCGCAAACGUCGCGGGAGAAAAACCGAAGACAUGAGGUGCUCCCAGUGCGGUCCAACAGGCGUAUUUUAAAUAUAUGUCCCCAGGUCCAUGACUGAAGAAAAUUCUGGAAGGACUCCCAGGAAGUUAUUUCUUUUUUCUGCUUGCUGUGAUAUUGAGGAGAAAACGGUGAUGACAUCUUUUUGGCUGGAUGGAACUGAUGGAAGAUUUAUGGAGCAGCUGAGGACUGUCAGAGCCAGACCCAGCAGAUUUCCUAAGAGAAUGACCAUGGCCUUUUCAUCAGCGAGCACACUGCCUUCUGAAAUGGUCUAACAUGAGAGAGAGAGAGAGAGAGAGAGAGAGAGAGAGAGAGAGAGAGAGAGAGAGAGAGAGAGAGAGAGAGAAGGAGAGGGAGAGGGAGAGGGAGAGGGAGAGAGGGAGAGAGAGAGAGAGCCCUAUCUAACCAGCCAUCAGUGAGGUUAUCCCUGUACCCCACAGCUGCUGCCACCCAAUCUGAAGGUUCCCGCUUCUGCUCUUGAAGUAUUUAUUGUAUGUGACCACACAGAAGUCCUAGCUGUCACCCACCGUCAAACCCCCUAGCCCCAGUCUGGGACCCAGAGCCCUCCAGGAGUGGGAAACUUCAUCCUAUACCUUCUCAGUCACAGGGAUUUCAGAAAUUAGUCACAGGAAGCAGGGAGGCCGAGAGUGGAGGCUUCCAAGAGGAGCCAGUAACAGGAUCUGGGAUCUUUCACCCCAGGUCACAGAAGCUUAGACUGUCCCCAAGGUAGAGAUGAGUGGUCAAGGAUGGAACCGGCCUUCCCAAGGCUUCUGCCAGCAGCAAGAGCUUUGGGGAGAUGGAACCUAUAGCCAGGCAGUCGUCCCCUCACUGACUGCUCUCUCCCGUAUCUCAAAUGUCUGUCCUAAUACUCUCAACUCUGAGAGACAACAAGGGGUUGACUGGAGCCCAGAACCCAGCAUGUAUCUGAAACAAAGUCUUGACCUGACUUCCAGCCCUCCCCUCAUGAAUGAACACUGUUGCAUCUCAGAGUACUCUCAGACAUCCCAGAAUUGUCACUCACAGACAUCUCAUGUGGACAGACAGUAAAUGAUAAUCAUUCUGAAGGUAUGGAAAAGUUGUGGGGUGGUAGAGGCAGAAGGCACUGGGUUCAAUCCUCUAUAUGGAGAGAAAGAUGAUAGAUAGAUAGAUAGAUAGAUAGAUAGAUAGAUAGAUAGAUAGAUGAUAGAUAGAUAGACAGACAGAUAAAUAGAUAGAUCAGAGACACACACUAAAUAUCUACCAACAGAAAAUAGUUUAGGGCUGGUGAGAUAGCUCAGCAGUUAAGAGCACUGACUGCUUUUCCAAAGGUCCCAAGUUCAAAUCCCAGUCACCACAUGGUAGCUCACAACCCUCUAUAAGGAGAUCUGAUGCCCUCUUCUGGAGUAUCUGAAAACAGUUACAGUGUAGUUACAUAUAAUAAAUAUAUC